rnacentral:rRNA from 1 species
CUACGGGGUGCUGCAGUGGGGAAUAUUGCACAAUGGGCGCAAGCCUGAUGCAGCCAUGCCGCGUGUAUGAAGAAGGCCUUCGGGUUGUAAAGUACUUUCAGCGGGGAGGAAGGGAGUAAAGUUAAUACCUUUGCUCAUUGACGUUACCCGCAGAAGAAGCACCGGCUAACUCCGUGCCAGCAGCCGCGGUAAUACGGAGGGUGCAAGCGUUAAUCGGAAUUACUGGGCGUAAAGCGCACGCAGGCGGUUUGUUAAGUCAGAUGUGAAAUCCCCGGGCUCAACCUGGGAACUGCAUCUGAUACUGGGAAGCUGGAGUCUCGUAGAGGGGGGUAGAAUUCCAGGUGUAGCGGUGAAAUGCGUAGAGAUCUGGAGGAACACCGGUGGCGAAGGCGGCCCCCUGGACGAAGACUGACGCUCAGGUGCGAAAGCGUGGGGAGCAAACAGGAUUAGAUACCCCUGUAGUC